rnacentral:rRNA from 1 species
CGCGGCCUAUCAGCUUGUCGGUGGGGUAAUGGCCUACCAAGGCGACGACGGGUAGCCGGCCUGAGAGGGCGACCGGCCACACUGGGACUGAGACACGGCCCAGACUCCUACGGGAGGCAGCAGUGGGGAAUAUUGCACAACGGGCGGAAGCCUGAUGCAGCGACGCCGCGUGAGGGAUGACGGCCUUCGGGUUGUAAACCUCUUUCAGUAGGGACGAAGCGCGAGUGACGGUACCUACAGGAGAAGCGCCGGCCAACUACGUGCCAGCAGCCGCGGUAAGACGUAGGGCGCGGGCAUUGUCCGGAUUUAUUGGGCGUAAAGAGCUCGUAGGCGGCUUGUCGCGUCGGCUGUGAAAUCCCGUGGCUCAACUGCGGGUCUGCAGCCGAUACGGGCAGGCUAGAGUUCGGUAGGGGAGACUGGAAUUCCUGGUGUAGCGGUGAAAUGCGCAGAUAUCAGGAGGAACACCGAUGGCGAAGGCAGGUCUCUGGGCCGAUACUGACGCUGAGGAGCGAAAGUGUGGGGAGCGAACAGGAUUAGAUACCCUGGUAGUCCACGCUGUAAACGUUGGGCGCUAGGUGUGGGGGACCUCUCCGGUUCUCUGUGCCGCAGCUAACGCAUU